AACCCCCUAACACUUAGCACUCAUCGUUUACGGCKUGGWCUACCAGGGUAUCUAAUCCUGUUUNAUCCCCACGCUUUCGCACAUCAGCGUCAGUUACAGACCAKAAAGUCGCCUUCGCCACUGGUGUUCCUCCAUAUCUCUGCGCAUUUCACCGCUACACAUKGRAUUCCACUUUCCUCUUCUGCACUCAAGUUUUCCAGUUUCCAAUGACCCUCCACGGUUGAGCCGUGGGCUUUCACAUCAGACUUWAAAAACCGCCUACGCGCGCUUUACGCCCAAUAAUUCCGGAUAACGCUUGCCACCUACGUAUUACCGCGGCUGCUGGCACGUAGUUAGCCGUGGCUUUCUGAUUAGGUACCGUCAAGACGUGCAUAGUUACUUACACAUUUGUUCUUCCCUAAUAACAGAGUUUUACGAUCCBUAGACCUUCAUCACUCACGCGGCGUUGCUCCGUCAGGCUUUCGCCCAUUGCGGAAGAUUCCCUACUGCUGCCUCCCGUAG
rnacentral:rRNA from 1 species